rnacentral:tRNA from 1 species
GGUAGUAUGGCUGAUUUAAGCGGUAAUCUGUAAAAUUACACAUAGGGCGUUCCCUUUCUACCA